GUAAUGGCCUACCAAGACGAUGAUGUAUAGCCCAGUUGAGAGACUGAUCGGCCACACUGGGACUGAGAUACGGCCCACACUCCUACGGGAGGCAGCACUAGGGAAUAUUCCACAAUGGGCGCAAGCCUGAUGGAGCGACACACCGUGCAGGAUGAAGGUCUUCGGAUCGUAAACUGCUGUUAUACAGAAAGAAAAGAUAUAGGAGUGGAAAGCCUAUAUUAUGACGGUACUGUAUCAGAAAGUGACGGCCAACUAUGUGCCAACAGCCGCGGUAAUACAUAGGUCACAAGCGUUAUCCGAAAUUAUUGGGCGUAAAGCGUCCGUAAGUUGUUUGUUAAGUCUGGAGUUAAAGACCGGUGCUCAACGCCGGCACGCUUUAGAUACAGGCAAACUAAAGUUAUUGAGAGGUAAGUGGAAUUUCAUGUGAAGCGGUGGAAUGCGUAGAUAUAUGAAAGAACACCAAUGGCG
rnacentral:rRNA from 2 species